UACGUAGGCAGCGAGCGUUGUUCGGAGUUACUGGGCGUAAAGGGUGUGUAGGCGGUUUUCUAAGUUUGGUGUGAAAUCUCCCGGCUCAACCGGGAGGGUGCGCCGAAAACUGGGAGACUAGAGUGCGGGAUGGGAGAGUAGAAUUCCUGGUGUAGCGGUGAAAUGCGUAGAUAUCGAGGAGGAAUACGGUGGUGGUAGCACGGCUGCUCGUGGACCGCCACGUGACGCUGAAGACGACGAAAGCGUAGGGUAGCAAACAGGAUAG
rnacentral:rRNA from 1 species